rnacentral:rRNA from 1 species
AGUAACGCGUAAAGAACUUGCCCUUUAGACUGGGAUAACAAGAGGGAAACUUCUGAUAAUACUGGAUAAGUUAGUAUAUCGCAUGAUAUGCAAAAUGAAAGCUACGGCACUAAAGGAGAGCUUUGCGUCCUAUUAGCUAGUUGGUAAGGUAAGAGCUUACCAAGGCGAUGAUAGGUAGCCGGCCUGAGAGGGUGGACGGCCACAAGGGGACUGAGAUACGGCCCUUACUCCUACGGGAGGCAGCAGGG